UAAGGAAUAUUGGUCAAUGGACGCAAGUCUGAACCAGCCAUGCCGCGUGAAGGAUGAAGGUCCUCUGGAUUGUAAACUUCUUUUAUCUGGGACGAAAACGGGAUUUUUAUCUCAAUUGACGGUACCAGAGGAAUAAGCACCGGCUAACUCCGUGCCAGCAGCCGCGGUAAUACGGAGGGUGCGAGCGUUAUCCGGAUUUACUGGGUUUAAAGGGUGCGUAGGUGGGCUUAUAAGUCAGUGGUGAAAUCUCCGAGCUUAACUUGGAAACUGCCGUUGAUACUAUAGGUCUUGAAUUAUCUGGAGGUAAGCGGAAUAUGUCAUGUAGCGGUGAAAUGCUUAGAUAUGACAUAGAACACAAAUUGCGAAGGCAGCUUACUACAUAUAAAUUGACGCUGAGGCACGAAAGCGUGGGGAUCAAAC
rnacentral:rRNA from 1 species